rnacentral:rRNA from 1 species
AACGAACGCUGGCGGCAGGCCUAACACAUGCAAGUCGAGCGCACUCUUCGGAGUUAGUGGCGGACGGGUGAGUAACGCGUGAGAAUCUGCCUUCAGGUUGGGGACAACAGUUAGAAAUGACUGCUAAUACCCAAUGUGCCGAAAGGUGAAAGAUUAAUUGCCUGAAGAUGAGCUCGCGUCUGAUUAGCUAGUUGGUGGGGUAAAAGCCUACCAAGGCGUCGAUCAGUAGCUGGUUUGAGAGGACAAUCAGCCACACUGGGACUGAGACACGGCCCAGACUCCUACGGGAGGCAGCAGUGGGGAAUUUUCCGCAAUGGGCGAAAGCCUGACGGAGCAAUACCGCGUGAGGGAGGAAGGCUCUUGGGUUGUAAACCUCUUUUGCUUGGGAAGAAUACUGACGGUACCAAGGGAAUAAGCAUCGGCUAACUCCG